UACGUAGGGUGCAAGCGUUGUUCGGAAUUACUGGGUGUAAAGCGCGCGUAGGCGGGUUUGAAAGUCGAUUGUGAAAUCCCUAGGCUUAACCUGGGAAUUGCAGUCGAAACUCCGAAUCUUGAAUGUCUGAGAGGAUGGCGGAAUAACCGGUGUAGUAGUGAAAUACGUAGAUAUCGGUUAGAACACCUGAGGCGAAGGCGGCUAUCUGGCGGUACAUUGACGCUAAGGCGCGAAAGCGUGGGGAGCAAACAGG
rnacentral:rRNA from 1 species